GAGUUUGAUCGUGGCUCAGAUUGAACGCUGGCGGCAUGCCUUACACAUGCAAGUCGAACGGCAGCACGGGAGCUUGCUCCUGGUGGCGAGUGGCGAACGGGCGAGUAAUGCAUCGGAACGUAUCCUGGAGUGGGGGAUAACGUAGCGAAAGUUACGCUAAUACCGCAUAUUCUGUGAGCAGGAAAGCGGGGGACCUUCGGGCCUCACGCUCUUGGAGCGGCCGAUGUCGGAUUAGCUAGUUGGUGAGGUAAAGGCUCACCAAGGCGACGAUCCGUAGCAGGUCUGAGAGGAUGAUCUGCCACACUGGAACUGAGACACGGUCCAGACUCCUACGGGAGGCAGCAGUGGGAAUUUUGGACAAUGGGGGCAACCCUGAUCCAGCCAUGCCGCGUGAGUGAAGAAGGCCUCGGUUGUAA
rnacentral:rRNA from 1 species